rnacentral:lncRNA from 1 species
CCGAACUCCAGACAAUUGAGGAGUUGUCCAUCUGGGGACACACAGCAGUGAAAAGGACGUAGCCUUUCCUAAUCCCUGAAGAGCUCUUCCGCAGGUACUCUGAAGGGCAAUUCCACCAGAAUGUACAUUCCAUGACAUCUGGGACUUUGAUGCAUUGCCCCAGACGAUAAUACCAGUACCUACAGCAUGUUCACCUAAGCACUGGUCAAGUGGAUAUUACUCAACCAGAAUGCAAACAUUUCUAUUGG